rfam:Triticum aestivum genome assembly, contig: Triticum_aestivum_CS42_TGACv1_scaffold_375320_5AL
AUUAUACUCCCUCCGGUCGGAAUUACUUGUGCAGAAAUGGAUGUAUCUAGACAUAUUUUAGUUCUAGAUACAUCCAUAUCCGAGACAACUAAUUCCGAACAGAGGGAGUAGUAG